GCUCCUACAAAAAUAGCUCCUCCAGUCCAAAACAAACGUUAUUUCCGCGUUACGUAGUUAUACGUUUUUAUCUACUACGCAAUGCCUACAAUAAAGGAUUUAACGUUGACUUACGAUGCACUUAACGAGGAAAAUACGUUUUCCGAGGGAGACACUUUAACGGGCACAGUGACGAUGUGCAUGGAAAAAGAUACGAAAGUUGAAUCCUUUUUCGUCAAACUUAAAGGCGACGCAAAUGUGCAUUGGAGCGAAAAGCGUGGUGAACACAAUCACAGUUAUAAUGCACACAGGAGGUACUUCAAACUUAAACAAUUUUUGAUUCCUGAAAACACUAAAGACACUGAAAUCUCCAAGGGAUAUCACUCCUAUAAAUUCAGCUUCAAAAUUCCAUCCGGGAGUAUGCCCUCAUCCUUUAACGGGUAUUUUGGUAAGAUCAUCUACAGACUAGAAGCCAAGCUUUCAAGGAGCUGGAAGUUGGACAGUAGUGUAAAGCAGGAGAUCAACUUUGCAUCGAAGGCCAUUCCAAACCUCAGCCACCUGAUGACCCGCCAGGUUGGCCAAAUGGAUAAAGACAUAGGAAUCUUCUCAAAAGGAUCCGUACACAUGGAGGCGUUUGUGGAGAGCGGAGUCUACGCCCCGGGUCAAACUGUGGCAGUUACUGUUAAAGUCAAAAACACAUCCUCAAAAGACAUGACCCCCAAGUUCUCUUUGAAGCAGAAUGUUACGUUCCAUGCGCAAGGCCGUAGAAAGUGCAGUGGUAGUGAAAUCUGUAAGUUAGUUGGGGAGGUUAUUGAGAAGAAAAGUGAAAAAACAAUCACUUGUGCAUUGAAGAUCCCUCCUGACCAGAUCCUAUCCAUCCAGAACUGUGAAAUCCUUUCAGUUGAACAUCAUUUUAAGGUGUACUUGGACAUCAGCUUUGCCACAGACCCAGAGAUCAAGUUUCCACUGGUCAUUGCCCGUUCCGGCUUCAUGUUAAACCCAGGGCCCGGGGGAAUGAACCAGCCGUACCCCCCUGUAGCAUACGGGGGCCCAAGCAACAGCGACUUCCCUCCCCCCGCCGCCUGCUCUCAGCCAGCUCCGCAUCAGCAGGCCUAUGGUCCCUCAGUACCCUUCGGCCCCCAAGCAUCCUUCGGGCCCCAAGCAGGUUACGGGCCUCAAGCAGCCUUCGGGCCCCAAGCAGCCUUCGGGCCCCAAGCAGCCUUCGGACCCCAAGCAGCCUUCGGACCCCAAGCAGCCUUCGGACCCCAAGCAGCCUUCGGGCCCCAAGCAGGCUAUGGGCCUCAAGCAGCCUCCGGGCCCCCAGCAGAAUGGGGCCCGGGGCCCGCUGCGCCCGGUGCCAUGGGAGCAGCUUACUACCAGCCCGUGCCACAGAACGUGUCUCCGUAUGGACCCCCGGCCCAGCCCUCGUCGCACGCCCCCGUGCUCCACCCUCCUCCUCCUCAAAGGGGCCCGGUUCCUCCACCGGCGGCUCCGGGGGCUCUGCCCUCUGCGCCGACGAUCGACCCCGGCCAGUACGCCCCGCCGUCAUUCGCCUCCUGCUACAACACCCCCACGUAUAGCAUGCCGCCGCAAAUGCCGGGGAUGGGCACCGAUUUUCUAUCCCAACAAAAUGAAGAACCUCCUUCGUAUCUGUCUAUGUUCCCCCCGGCAACCAACGAUAAACCGCCAAAAUAAUUGAACAGAAAGCGCUGAUGAUUCAUUGUCGUGGUUUUCGAAACAUGGAAACGUGCCAUGGGAUGAAUGUAUACACCUCAAUAUGCAACCUUUGUUCCAUUAAUGUUAUGCACAUAUACACGUAUGCUAUGAAAAGCCUUAUUCAAUGUCUAAAAUGUGGGUCGGCUUAGCUCAGGAGGUAGAGCAGUUGUCUUGUAACUGAAUGGUUGCUAGUUCGAUCCACAGCUCCUCCUAGCUGAGUGUUGAUUUGUCCCUGAGCAAGACACUUAACCCUAACUGCUCCUGCUCCUGACUUUUGCCUUGCAUGGUUGACUCUGCCGUCGGUGUGUGUAUUAACCGAUGUAAGUCGAUUUGGAUUAAAGCGUGUGCUAAAUGCCCUAAUUGUAAUUGUUAUUGUAAAAUGGUGAAGUUUAAAGGCCUUUGGUAUUUUGUGGUUUCCUCUCAGGGCUCAACCAUGGCCAGUGAUGUCAUUCAAACACACCUGGUUGCAUGUGGUCUACAACUGCAGUAGUGUGACCACAAUAUCCCUACAAUGGACCAUUUUAUAUUGAAGACUUUAUUCAGCCAUGCAUGUAUGGGAGAAAUGUGUGACAUAUUUGAAAUAUAAGAAAUCUAAUUAUUAUACACUAUACAUAUAAAUACAGAAUGAUCAGUAUCAUACCUACAUGCUACAUGAAAGGGUGGAAAAACAGUCACCAAAGAGUCACAUCAUUUUAAUAAAGCUCUAUUGGACGUACUAAUAUUAAUCAUUCAUUUUAAAUAAUCCUAUAUCGUUUACAUUUCCUGUUCUCUUUUCUUAUACUUUCUAGGACACAUGUCCUGCUGAACUUGGGGUACUAUGCUUUGGUUGAUCGCCCACUCUUUGCUUAUUGUAGGGCAGCUCACCUAUGUAACCAAUGAACACACCCUUGUUUGACCUUUGAAGGUGUUUUGUGAUGUUGGUGGAGGGUGAUGUACUGAACUGAUUUUCUGAUGUACGGGAUGGCUUGAAAUAGAAUAGCAUUUUAUCCUCAAACAAAUGCAUUAGCAUCGGAGAAACCGUUGUACUACCUCUUGUAUAAGCCUGUUUAUAUAUAUUUAUGAUUUUUCUUUGUAUGUUUCUCUAGUGUGCCUUUAAAAUAACUUUUCCAAAUGUGGCUAGGUGUCUGGACCCUUUUGUAAAUUGCUUGCUCUUUGCUGUUAACCAAUGAAUUGGAUGUUAAGAAUAAUUGUACCAACAAAAAAUACAAUAAAAACCCACUUCCAUA